GAUGAAGAACGCAGCGAAAUGCGAUAAGUAAUGUGAAUUGCAGAAUUCAGUGAAUCAUCGAAUCUUUGAACGCACCUUGCGCCUUUUGGUAUUCCGAAAGGCACACCUGUUUGAGCGUCAUGAAUACCUCAAUCUCCAUCUUUUCUUCGGAUUGAUGGGUGACUUGGAUGUUGAGCCCUGCUGGUACGCUAUAUCAGCUGGCUUUAAACUUAUUAGCCGGCUCUGUACUGGAUCGGUUUGACUCGACGUGAUAAUAUUAUCGUUGAGGAUGCAUGUCUCAUGCAGCCGGAAAGUAUCAAAGCAGCUUCUAGCUUGCCUUUAGUGCACUUUUACAUUUUAGACCUCAGAUCAGGUGGGACUACCCGCUGAACUUAAGCAUAUCAAUAAGCGGAGGA
rnacentral:misc_RNA from 1 species